rnacentral:rRNA from 1 species
UACGUAGGGUGCAAGCGUUAAUCGGAAUUACUGGGCGUAAAGCGUGCGCAGGCGGUUGUGUAAGACAGAUGUGAAAUCCCCGGGCUCAACCUGGGAACUGCAUUUGUGACUGCACAGCUGGAGUGCGGCAGAGGGGGAUGGAAUUCCGCGUGUAGCAGUGAAAUGCGUAGAUAUGCGGAGGAACACCGAUGGCGAAGGCAAUCCCCUGGGCCUGCACUGACGCUCAUGCACGAAAGCGUGGGGAGCGAAACAAGGAUUGAG